rnacentral:rRNA from 1 species
CAGUCGAGCGAACAGACGAGGAGCUUGCUCCUCUGACGUUAGCGGCGGACGGGUGAGUAACACGUGGAUAACCUACCUAUAAGACUGGGAUAACUUCGGGAAACCGGAGCUAAUACCGGAUAAUAUAUUGAACCGCUUCAAUAGUGAAAGACGGUUUUGCUGUCACUUAUAGAUGGAUCCGCGCCGCAUUAGCUAGUUGGUAAGGUAACGGCUUACCAAGGCAACGAUGCGUAGCCGACCUGAGAGGGUGAUCGGCCACACUGGAACUGAGAGUCCAGACUCCUACGGGAGGCAGCAGUAGGGAAUCUUCCGCAAUGGGCGAAAGCCUGACGGAGCAACGCCGCGUGAGUGAUGAAGGUCUUCGGAUCGUAAAACUCUGUUAUUAGGGAAGAACAAAUGUGUAAGUAAGCACGUCUUGACGGUACCUAAUCAGAAAGCCACGGCUAACUACGUGCCAGCAGCCGCGGUAAUACGUAGGUGGCAAGCGUUAUCCGGAAUUAUUGGGCGUAAAGCGCGCGUAGGCGGUUUUUUAAGUCUGAUGUGACCACGGCUCAACCGUGGAGGGUCAUUGGAAACUGGAAAACUUGAGUGCAGAAGAGGAAAGUGGAAUUCCAUGUGUAGCGGUGAAAUGCGCAGAGAUAUGGAGGAACACCAGUGGCGAAGGCGACUUUCUGGUCUGUUGACGCUGAUGUGCGAAAGCGUGGGGAUCAAACAGGAUUAGAUACCCUGGUAGUCCACGCCGUAAACGAUGAGUGCUAAGUGUUAGGGGGUUUCCGCCCCUUAGUGCUGCAGCUAACGCAUUAAGCACUCCGCCUGGGGUACGACCGCAAGGUUGAAACUCAAAGGAAUUGACGGGGACCCGCACAAGCGGUGGAGCAUGUGGUUUAUUCGAAGCAACGCGAAGAACCUUACCAAAUCUUGACAUCCUCUGACCCCUCUAGAGAUAGAGUUUUCCCCUUCGGGGGACAGAGUGACAGGUGGUGCAUGGUUGUCGUCAGCUCGUGUCGUGAGAUGUUGGGUUAAGUCGCAACGAGCGCAACCCUUAAGCUUAGUUGCCAUCAUUAAGUUGGGCACUCUAAGUUGACUGCCGGUGAAACCGGAGGAAGGUGGGGAUG